ACCUGGCAUACAAUGUAGGUUUCUGUGUUUGUUAGGCAACAGCUACAUUGUCUGCUGGGUUU
rnacentral:pre_miRNA from 2 species